UCUAAAAGUCAGGAAACAACCAGAGAAACUGAUAAAUGCAACAGACACACAGAUCAGUUUGUUGUAUUUAGUCACUGAGAAGAUCAGUAAUGGCACAUGGGAUCAACAUUAUUGUCAUUCUUGCUGCAAUUUGCCUUGAAAUCAGAGCUCAGGAUACAGUCACUCAGUCCACAGGAGAUGUGAUCGGAUACGAAGGAGGAUCAGUGACUCUCAACUGUGACUUUACAACUAGCAGCACAGCUCCAUUUCUCUUCUGGUACAUCCAACACCCUAACGGCUCUCCCAAGUAUAUUCUGCAGAGGUACACAUCUGGAGCUGGUGAUACUGCGGCUGAAUUCAAGGACAGAUUCAAUGCCAACAUUGAGAAAACCACGGUACCUUUAACAAUUCAGAGGCUGCAACUGACUGACUCCGCUGUGUAUUACUGUGCACUGACUCCCACAGUGAUGAACUCAGGGCAUCAGUGGUACAAAAACCUACUUCCCUCCAGGGGCUCUAUAGGGCAAACUGACACAACCAGAGCUCCUCUGGACUCGGUGCAAAACCUCUGA